UACAGAGGUGGCAAGCGUUGUUCGGAAUUACUGGGCGUAAAGGGCGCGUAGGCGGCGUGACAAGUCACUUGUGAAAUCUCCGGGCUUAACCCGGAGCGGCCAAGUGAUACUGUCGUGCUAGAGUGCGGAAGGGGCUACUGGAAUUCUCGGUGUAGCGGUGAAAUGCGUAGAUAUCGAGAGGAACACCUGCGGCGAAGGCGGGUAGCUGGGCCGACACUGACGCUGAGGCGCGAAAGCCAGGGGAGCGAACGGG
rnacentral:rRNA from 1 species